UACGAAGGGGGCUAGCGUUGUUCGGAAUUACUGGGCGUAAAGGGCGCGUAGGCGGUCUUUUAAGUUCCGUGUGAAAUCCCUCGGCUCAACUGGGGAACUGCACGGGAAACUGGAAGGCUUGAGUUCGGGAGAGGGAAGCGGAAUUCCGGGUGUAGCGGUGAAAUGCGUAGAUAUCCGGAGGAACACCGGUGGCGAAGGCGGCUUCCUGGACCGACACUGACGCUGAGGCGCGAAAGCUAGGGGAGCAAACGGG
rnacentral:rRNA from 1 species